CACACUCUUUGAUUCUCAUACUGUGAGAAUUGCAAGUAUUUUAGUAAAGAGCUAUGGAUAAUUAAUUAAUGUAUCUAUCCAAAUCAAUUAUCACUUAAAACGAUGUAGUGACUUAAUUGUUACGUUCCAGAUAUUGUUGCAUUUACUGCUAUGUAUUGUACUUAAUAAAGUAACUUAUAUUGAUUCCGCCCUAGUCUUGUAUAGUAUAGCGUUUUGCGAUGGGUAAUAAAGACGAUACUGUGUUCCUGGCGAAGUAUUCAGCCUUCAGCCCAUACCGGUUGUUCCGGCGUGAGGUGGGGUUCGCGCCGCCCCUGGGUGCUGGUGACGCGCUGGCCCGUAGCCUCUAUUGUGGCAUGAAACCCAUCGCCUCUUGGAGCUCGGAAGAUGCGAAUGCCCUUCCCACAGGAGGCGUGUUCAACCUUGAAUUUUCACCGGACGGCUCCCUAUUGGUAGCGGCCUGUGAGAAGAAAUCUAUUCAGAUAUUUGACUCACUCACUCACCGGCGGAUACACACAGUCAAUGGAGCUCACUCGGAUUGUGUCAAUUGUGUCAAAUUCCUCGACGGGCGAAUGUUCGCCACAUGCUCCGACGACACAACCAUAGCACUCUGGGACGUCAGGAACCUAAAAAAGAAAAUAUGCUCAUUACUCGGCCACAGCAACUGGGUGAAAAACAUAGAGUUCUCAAUGAAGGACAAGCUCCUUGUCACCUCGGGGUUGGACGGGAGUAUAUACACUUGGGAUAUCAAUUCUUAUUCGGAGUGUAACUUGGUGUACCAAAGAGUGUUCCACGCGAGUGGGCUGAUGCGGUGUAGACUGUCGCCGGACGCGCGGCAGAUGGUGAUGUGUACGACGCGUGGCCUGCUGGUCAUCGUCCAUAAUCUCAACUUGACUACGCUAGCACAGGACUUGCACGGCUUCAAGCCCAACAUGUACAGACUGAUGCAGAUGAGCAACCAGCUGAUCCCGAUAGCGGCGCAGUAUGACCACCUGUUCGACUCCAAGCGAAGCCAGAACCGAAUAGAGUUCAUCAGCGACUUCCCGGAGGGCAACGACGCGGAGGUCGUCAGUGCGUUACAGAUUCAUCCUCUGGGUUGGAGCGCAUUAAGUAGAAAUAUCAGCCACGACGAUAGAUCAGAGUGGUCGUGCAUCCACGACAUCCAGCCGGUGGAGCGGUCGUCGGACAAGUCGGUGGUGGACCCGCCGCCGGUGGCGGUGGCGCUGCCGGCGCGGCGCACGCGACGCCCGCCGCGCCGCCCGCGCCCGCGCCCCUACCGCCAGCCCCGCCCCAUGGCCUCCGUCACGCCCGCGCUGCCCGAGCAACCCGGCACGUCAGCGCUGUUGCGGCGCGCGUGGGCCGAGCACCGCGCCGCCGCGCCGCGCGCGCCCGCCGUGCCGCCCGCCGCGCGCGCGCCGAGCCCCGGCUCGGCGGGGACUUAUCCUCUAUUCAGAACGAUGUAUGGGAGGCGUCCAUCACGAUCAAACAACACAGAAUGCUGCAAGAGUUGGCCGGCAGGGGCCAGGGGCACCGCAACUUCAACAUGCAGCGCAUCAUGGGCAUCAACACCGGUAUCGCGCCGCCCGCUGCGCGCGCGCGCCCCAGGCCACGCGCCGACGAAGAUGAGGAGAGCACAUCACCAUCAACGUCCGGGCAGACGCCGCGGGCGGCGUCAGCGUCACCGGAGCCAGAGAGCGAGGGCAUCAAGUACUUCAUCCGGCAGAACCGCGAGCGCCUGCUCUACUACGUCGAGGAGACCAACGAGGGGAAGGGGUUCAUCAAGGAAUUAUGCUACUCGGCGGACGGGCGGCUAGUGUGCUCACCCUUCGGCUGCGGCAUGCGGCUGCUGGCGCUCAACGAGCGCUGCGGGGAGCUGUCGCACUGCGUCGAGGGCUUCAGCGGCCCCAAGCCCAUGGUGGACGUAGGACAAAGUCUAGGCCACCACCAGGACCUGGUGGUGAGCUGCAAGUUCAGCCCGCGCUACCACCUGCUCGUGACCGGCUGCCUCGAGGGCAAGAUCGUGUGGUACGAGCCCUUCAGCGGAGAGACAAUGUAUUAGAUACUUAAUUAUAUUAGCCCUAUCAAAUAUCUU